AACUUAAAAAACUAACAUUAAAACAACAACUAAAUAUAUUAUAGAAACGAUUUAUAUUAUAAACCAUCAAAACCAACAAUGUUUCAAACAAUUAGUUGAAUACUAUUCGUCUUGCCGUUUUGGAGGCAAAAAUAUCAAUCAAAUCUGAAUAAUUUAGCUGUCCAACCAUUUCUUUUUCUAUUGAUAACAUGGCCAACCCGUUUAAUCUUUCUUGUGACAUAGUUGAUCGAAGAUAGGUCUUGAUCAACUUCAAUUUUGAGAAACUUCUUUCCGCAGAUGCAACUGUAACCGGUAUGGUUAACAAAAUUUUGUAAGCAAUAUAAGCAUUUGGGUAACAAAUAUUGUGAGUCUUCAAAUAUUGCAGCACUUUAAUUGCUCUUAUUGCUUCAUUUGGUAAAUAAAUCUUCAAGACUUGUAACUCCGAACAUAAAUAAUCUCCACUGAUAUCCGAACGCCCAUCAUGUUCAAGAUAUUUCUCAAGAUUCAUACAAGAGUUCAACAAACUUGAUAAAGUUGCAUCCCUUAAUCUUUUCAAAUUAAACAAAAAUUCAAAUAUGUCAUCAUAUUGUUUGAAUUGUUCAAAUCGACCCCUCAGAGAAGAUAGAGCUUGAUCAAUUAUAAAAAUAAAGUACUCAACUCUAAAAGAUUCUUCUGAUGAUUGCUUUACCUCAUCACUACCGCUUUCAUCAAAUUAUUUUUUCCUUCGAAUUAUGCGUUUUUCUGUAAAUACAACUUCAAUUCCCAUUUCGUUUGCCUUUUUUGUUGCUUCAUCCAUAGCAACGGCAAAUCCGAUUUCUCUAUAAUCUUCAAAAAAUAAAACAAGUCCUUGCAAUAGAUCGAUAGCAUGAUCAAUAUCCAUGGAUUCGGUUUGAAGAAAUUUAC
rnacentral:lncRNA from 1 species